rnacentral:misc_RNA from 1 species
CAGAGUUGCAAAACUCCCUAAACCAUUGUGAACGUUACCCUACAAACCGUUGCUUCGGCGGGCGGGCUCCGGGUCCGCCCGUUGCCCCCUCGGCGCCCCCCCUCGCGCGGAGGCGCCCGCCGCCGGAGGAAACCCAACUCUUGAUUAACAUGGCGCCUCUCUGAGUCUUCUGUACUGAAUAAGUCA